rnacentral:rRNA from 1 species
UACGGAGGGUGCUAGCGUUGUUCGGAAUCACUGGACGUAAAGCGCACGCAGGCGGAUCGAUAAGUCGGGGGUGAAAGCCCGGGGCUCAACCUCGGAAUUGCCUUCGAUACUGUCGGGCUCGAGUCCGGGAGAGGUUAGUGGAAUUCCUAGUGUAGAGGUGAAAUUCGUAGAUAUUAGGAAGAACACCAGUGGCGAAGGCGGCUCACUGGCCCGGUACUGACGCUCAGGUGCGAAAGCGUGGGGAGCAAACAGG